GAUCCUGGCUCAGGAUGAACGCUGGCGGCGUGCUUAACACAUGCAAGUCGAACGAAGAUGCCGGAGUGCUUGCACUUUGGCAGACUGAGUGGCGAACGGGUGAGUAACGCGUGGGUAACCUGCCUUAUACAGGGGGAUAACAGUUGGAAACGACUGCUAAUACCGCAUAAGCGCACGGUAUCGCAUGAUACAGUGUGAAAAACUCCGGUGGUAUAAGAUGGACCCGCGUCUGAUUAGCUAGUUGGUGAGGUAACGGCCCACCAAGGCGACGAUCAGUAGCCGGCCUGAGAGAGUGAACGGCCACAUUGGGACUGAGACACGGCCCAAACUCCUACGGGAGGCAGCAGUGGGGAAUAUUGCACAAUGGGGGAAACCCUGAUGCAGCGACGCCGCGUGAGUGAAGAAGUAUUUCGGUAUGUAAAGCUCUAUCAGCAGGGAAGAUAAUGACGGUACCUGACUAAGAAGCCCCGGCUAACUACGUG
rnacentral:rRNA from 1 species